rfam:Xiphophorus maculatus strain JP 163 A Contig41.20, whole genome shotgun sequence.
GUAGGUUAUGGAGACAUUUACCCAAAAACCCUGCUGGGAAAGAUAGUUGGAGGUUUGUGUUGCAUUGCAGGGGUCUUGGUGAUAGCCUUACCCAUUCCUAUUAUUGUAAAUAAC